rnacentral:rRNA from 1 species
UUGACGGUACUAUAUGAAUAAGGACCGGCUAACUCCGUGCCAGCAGCCGCGGUAAUACGGAGGGUCCAAGCGUUAUCCGGAUUUAUUGGGUUUAAAGGGUCCGCAGGCGGGAUUUUAAGUCAGUGGUGAAAGCCUACAGCUCAACUGUAGAACUGCCAUUGAAACUGAAAUUCUUGAGUGUGGUUGAAGUGGGCGGAAUAUGUCAUGUAGCGGUGAAAUGCUUAGAUAUGACAUAGAACACCAAUUGCGAAGGCAGCUCACUAAGCCAUUACUGACGCUCAGGGACGAAAGCGUGGGGAGCGAACAGGAUUAGAUACCCUGGUAGUCCACGCCGUAAACGAUGAUCACUCGUUGUUGG